rnacentral:rRNA from 1 species
AYNACUGUGGCNNUUCUNGAGUNNAUACAUGCNAUNAUGCUCUGRCCGGGGGGGAAGAGCGAGUUUAUUAGAUCAAAACCAACCGGCGCGCAAGCGUCGAGCCGUUGGUGACUCAGAAUAACUUUGGUGUGAUCGCAUGGCCGAGAGCUGGCGACGUUUCUUUCNAAUGUCCGCCCUAUCAAGUUUCGUAUGUCGGCGCAAUGCCCACAUAGCUUUUUACGGGUGACGGGGAAUCAGGNUUCGAUUCCGGAGAGGGAGCAUGAGAAACGGCUACCACAUCCAAGGNAGGCAGCAGGCACGCNAAUUACCCACUCCUGACACGGGGAGGUAGUGACGAAAAAUAACAAUACGGGACUCUUACGAGGCCCCGUAAUUGGAAUGAGUACACUUUAAAUCCUUU